rnacentral:rRNA from 1 species
UACGUAGGGCGCAAGCGUUGUCCGGAAUUAUUGGGCGUAAAGAGCUCGUAGGUGGUUUGUUACGUCUGCUGUGAAAACCUAGGGCUUAACCCUGGGCCUGCAGUGGAUACGGGCAGACUAGAGGUAGGUAGGGGAGAAUGGAAUUCCCGGUGUAGCGGUGAAAUGCGCAGAUAUCGGGAGGAACACCGGUGGCGAAGGCGGUUCUCUGGGCCUUACCUGACACUGAGGAGCGAAAGCUAGGGGAGCAAACGGG